CAGUGUAUGUGUGUGGAGGUGCGAUCGAGAGAGAGACCAGGGAGAAACCCUUCUCCUCAAAACCUAGCAAGAAAUCAUCAAAUUGAAGGGCAAUAGGGCUGAAAUCUUAUGCAUGAGUUAAGAACUAAGAUCACCUAAGUGUUCUUGACAUCAAGCGUGAAGGAGGAAGGUACAAGCCUAACCGGUUCGCAAGCAACGCAAAACAAAGGUGAAUCUCACUCUUGAUAAUGGCGAGCUUGGAUCGAACACACCACAUCGCCCUUUAUGCGCUUCCGGUUUAGUCGUCUUUGUAAAUGGGUCAAAACACUUUCAUAAUGUAAAUGUUAAGUUUAUGUCUAAGAUGUUUCGUAAGUAAAUUAGGAUUUUAAAUCUUAUUUUUGGUAGUUCGGACAAAACACUUUUGAUGGAAUCUUGUAUGGUUACAACUUAUAUGUCUUUUGAAACGUGUCAUAGAAUUUUAGUUUGAAUGGUGAUUGUUAAAAGCAGGGAAUUGCAUAUAGUACGAACGGGUCAUGCCCAUUUUUUGUUAAAAAUUAGUAUGUGGUUACUAUUAUUUUCGAAUGUGAAAAAGUGGGCGUUACAAGUUGGUAUCAGAGCCGAGGUUUGAGGGAUUCGGGCACGGGAUAGGGUGCUCAGACUCAAACCGAAAGCUCAAGAUAUGGUGUGUGUUCGCUCCAAGACGCGGUUAAGGGAUGUGGAGUUUUGGUAUGGGUAUGCCUGGAAAUGGUAAUUGU
rnacentral:lncRNA from 1 species